rnacentral:lncRNA from 1 species
GUCUCUUCUCCAUGGUUGCGUGGCCGGAGAUGCGGAGGAGAAUCGUCAUCCCGCCAGUCUCUGUAGCAGCAGCCAGCUUCCUCCGUCAGCACGCGGGGCCGUGAGCAUCGGCGUCGAGUAGCUGCGCGCCGGCGUGCCAGAGCUCUGGGCAUCAGUGCCCCCUUCCUCCCGGUGUAGCGCAGCUCUAUGAUGAGGUGGCGCCCUGGCCAGCAGAACGUGUGGAAGCACGUUCUGCCUAGCGACACGCAGGGAAGCAGGAAGGAGGUAGGGCUGGUGAAUGGCGUUGUUGGAAGGAGGCUAGCUGUUGCUGUGCUUGUCGAUUGGGGAGGUUCUGA